rnacentral:tRNA from 1 species
GAAGGUAUAGCUCAAGUGGUAGAGCGCAUGGUUCUCAUGCAUGAGGUCCUGGGUUCAAUCCCCAGCACCUCCU